GAUGAAGAACGUAGCGAAAUGCGAUAAGUAAUGUGAAUUGCAGAAUUCAGUGAAUCAUCGAAUCUUUGAACGCACAUUGCGCCCGCCAGUAUUCUGGCGGGCAUGCCUGUUCGAGCGUCAUUUCAGCCAUCAAGCCCCCGGCUUGUGUUGGGGACCUGCGGCUGCCGCAGGCCCUGAAAACCAGUGGCGGGCUCGCUAGUCACUCCGAGCGUAGUAAUACAUCUCGCUCAGGGCGUGCUGCGGGUUCCGGCCGUUAAAAAGCCUUAUUUACCCAAGGUUGACCUCGGAUCAGGUAGGAAGACCCGCUGAACUUAAGCAUAUCAUAAGCGGAGGA
rnacentral:misc_RNA from 1 species